rnacentral:snRNA from 1 species
AGCUUUAAGCAGUGGCAGCAUCAUAGCCAAUGAUUUUUAUCCAAGGCACAAUUAUUGCUAAUUGAAAAGCAGAGCAUGGGAAGCAGAUAUGGUUCAAGCAGUUGGGCUCCCAUCUACCAUAUGGGAGGUCCAGGGUUCGAUUCCCAGGGC